AACGAACGCUGGCGGCGCGUCUUAAGCAUGCAAGUCGAACGGCAAGAGAGGAGCUUGCUUCUCUCCUAGAGUGGCGGACUGGUGAGGAACACGUGGGUAAUCUACCCUUAAGAUGGGGAUAGCUGCUAGAAAUAGCAGGUAAUACCGAAUACACUCGGCAUAUCACAAGAGGUGUUGAGGAAAGGAAGCUAUGGCUUCGCUUGAGGAUGAGCUUGCGUCCCAUUAGCUAGUUGGUGAGGUAAAGGCCCACCAAGGCGACGAUGGGUAUCCGGCCUGAGAGGGUGAACGGACACAUUGGGACUGAGAUACGGCCCAAACUCCUACGGGAGGCAGCAGCUAAGAAUAUUCCGCAAUGGACGGAAGUCUGACGGAGCGACGCCGCGUGGAUGAAGAAGGCUGAAAAGUUGUAAAAUCCUUUUGUUGAUGAAGAAUAAGGGUGAGAGGGAAUGCUCAUCUGAUGACGGUAAUCGACGAAUAAGCCCCGGCUAAUUACGUG
rnacentral:rRNA from 1 species